CUCCAGAUGUUGCUGAACUACAACUCCCAUGGUUCUGUGAAUGAAGUAGAUAGGCUGAGAAUCAUGGGAAUUGUAGUUCAGCAACAUCCGGAG
rnacentral:miRNA from 1 species